rnacentral:tRNA from 1 species
AGAGGGGUGUCCGAGCGGUUGAAGGAGCACGCCUGGAACGCGUGUAAGGUGCAAGCCUUCGAGGGUUCGAAUCCCUUCCCCUCUGCCA